ACACACACACACGACAGCUAUAGAUUUUGGAGUAUCUUUUUGUACUUUUCUUUUGUUAUUUUUUGUGUAUUUUGGCCCUUUUCGAAAUUCAUGAAAAAAGUAAUGCGUACAAAACAUUGAGAAAAUGGCGUCAAAUAUCUAUAUAUUCUUAUAUGGCAAUAAUAAAAUUAGUUUGCAAGAUUACAUAUAAUUAAAGGGAAAUGAUAGAAAAGGUCACAUUAGAGUGUGAAAUGAUAAAAAUGUCACCUAAUUUUCCACUUGAUAAAAAGGUCCAUUAUGAAUUGUUAAUAAUACUAAUUUAGUCCUUAUUAGUAAUGAAUUAAUGUUAAAAAAGGUCAGUUUUAAAUUUUUCUGAUUCCCAUUAUGCCCUUAAAGUAAAAAAAAUCCUAGAGCUCAAAUCUUCUCUCUCUUGUUCUUGGCUAUUUCGGAGAGAGACCAAGGGAAGGAGCAAAAAAUUUCCUAUUCCCGUUGGAUUCCGGAAUCGGAGGGCGGCGGCGGCUCGAUUCCAAUGAAUGUGCUUUGUUGCAACCGUGAUAGUCGGCGCAUGUGCUUCUGAUUCGUCGCCGAUUGCUGAUCCCGACUUAUGUUUUUUUUGUCAUUUUGUUGGAGUAGGAGUGAAUUGUAAGGUUAUCUCAAUAUCUAAGAUCUCACACCAAUCAGUGGCUACGCCUACUAGCUUGGCCUCGGUGUCCACUAUUCCGGCUUGCAAGGUCAAUCAGUUGGUUCAGGUUGCACAGAAGUGCCAGAGUACGAUUGUUGAAAGUGGAUCUGAUGGGGUUUCUCAGCAGGAUCUACAAGCAAAUAGUAAUUUGUGAGUUUUUGAGGUGAUCAACCAGUUUGGUAUUCAAUUUUAAUGUCUCCUCAUAAAGAAGUAGGGCUUCACCGAUGUUGUUUGUUUCCUUCAAGGUUCUGCCAGCUGGGCGGUAGCUCGCAAAGAGUUUGGAGUUGCAGUCGCUGAAUGACUUGGCUUUUCUAAAAGAUAUGUGAGGUGUUUGCAGAUAUCAGAGGUUGUGAACAACAUGAAAGAUUUGAUCGAAUUCUGCCAGGAAAACAAAGUUGGCCCAAUUGAGGGCUUGCAGGUUCAUCCUCGACAUGCGAAUGCAACCAAGCUUCAGAUGCAAAGGAUGCACGAAAUGGAGCAGUUAGCAAGUGUUCAGGGCAUGCCAACUGAUAGGAACACAUUGAAUAAGCUAAUGGUAAUAACAACCAUCACAUGGCCAGGGGAGGAGCUUUGAGUGGCUCUGCACAAGCAGCUUUAGCGCUGACCAAUUACCAAAAUCUGCUGAUGAAGCAGAACUCGAUGAAUUGAAAUGCAAAUUCUCUUUUUUUAUUCUUAAAUGAGGAGCGAUUCUUAAACGAGCUCUCAUCUCAAGAUUAUAUGAGAAUUUCACUUUUUUUUAUU